GAUGAACGCUGGCGGCGUGCCUAAUACAUGCAAGUCGAGCGAACGGACGAGAAGCUUGCUUCUCUGAUGUUAGCGGCGGACGGGUGAGUAACACGUGGAUAACCUACCUAUAAGACUGGGAUAACUUCGGGAAACCGGAGCUAAUACCGGAUAAUAUUUUGAACCGCAUGGUUCAAAAGUGAAAGACGGUCUUGCUGUCACUAAUAGAUGGAUCCGCGCUGCAUUAGCUAGUUGGUAAGGUAACGGCUUACCAAGGCAACGAUGCAUAGCCGACCUGAGAGGGUGAUCGGCCACACUGGAACUGAGACACGGUCCAGACUCCUACGGGAGGCAGCAGUAGGGAAUCUUCCGCAAUGGGCGAAAGCCUGACGGAGCAACGCCGCGUGAGUGAUGAAGGUCUUCGGAUCGUAAAACUCUGUUAUUAGGGAAGAACAUAUGUGUAAGUAACUGUGCACAUCUUGACGGUACCUAAUCAGAAAGCCACGGCUAACUACGUG
rnacentral:rRNA from 1 species